GUGUCUGUUCAGCUUGCCCUUUUCUCCAAAUCUUUUACCGCACUCAGAACAGACAAAUGCUUUUUUCCCUGUAUGAAUUAUCAUGUAUUUCUUCAGGGUGCCUUUUUGUCCAAAACUUUGACCACACUCAGAACAGAUAAAUGCUUUUUGUCUUUUG